rnacentral:rRNA from 1 species
UACGUAGGGGGCUAGCGUUGUCCGGAAUCAUUGGGCGUAAAGAGCGUGUAGGCGGUCCGGUAAGUCCGCUGUGAAAGUCGGGGGCUCAACCCUCGAAUGCCGGUGGAUACUGUCGGGCUAGAGUGCGGAAGAGGCGAGUGGAAUUCCUGGUGUAGCGGUGAAAUGCGCAGAUAUCAGGAGGAACACCGAUGGCGAAGGCAGCCCCCUGGGUUAACACUGACGCUCAGGCACGAAAGCGUGGGGAGCAAACAGG